rnacentral:lncRNA from 1 species
UAAGGUUUAAAAUCUGAUGUAGGAAUUACUUAGGAUUAUUUAGGAUUUUGUUAGAGUAUGUUUAAGAUUUGAUUAGGGUUCAGUUAAGGUUUAUUUAUAUUUGUUUAGGAUUUGGUUAGAAUUUUUUAGGAUUUGACUAGGAUUUGGUUAGGAUUUGUUUAAGAUUUAGUUAGGAUUUGAUUAGGAUUUGGUUAGGAUUUGAUUACAAUUUGUUUAGAAUUUGACUAGGAUUUAUUUAGGAUUUGAUUAGGAUUUGUUUAGGAUUUGAUUAGGAUUUGGUUAAGGUUUAUUUAGAAUUUGAUUAAGAUUUGGUUAUAGUUUGAUUAGGAUUUGAUUAAGAUUUGAUUAGGAUUUAUUAAUAUUUGACUAGGGUUUAUCUAGGAUUUGAUUAGAGUUUGAUCAGGAUUUAAUUAAGUUUUUUAUUUUAAUAUUUUAUUAAUAUUUCUAUUUUAUUAUAU